CUGGUGAGACAGCAUGGGAAGAAAUAACACAUGGGCUUUUGUGCAGCUGGAUAUAAUGAAGGUAACCAACCCCUGCCUACAUUUUACUCUGGAUUCCAAGAGUAGACUGGGCUUCAGGGACCAGAUGCCAGGGCUGGCACAUCUGCCUAAAACCCAUAAUUCUUGAACUUGACGUGCUCAGCCUCUCCAAAGCCGCGGCGCUGACACAGCUCCCCCUGCACGAGUGUACAGCAGUCAGACAGGAACGGGGAGAGGGGGCUCAACUUUCUGACGGCCACUUAGAGGCUGCCUGACCACAAAGACAGGACUGUAAAACAUAGACCGCAUGUGACCUGCUGGUGCUCGGCACUGACCCAGGGGAGGAGGGCCACUUGGGCUGGAAUGCAGUUGCUGGGGGCUCAUGAGGGGCUCAGUGGUGCCCCUGGCCACCGAGUCAAGCAGCGUAGAUUGAUCAGAGGAGCUGAGAGCUGAGGCCCACCCUCCCCUUUCUCCUACACAUGGACACCUCUGAGUGGAAUAAGGGAAGACUGUCCUUUCUCCAAGCUUGAAGGAAGAUGACUGUGACUCUUUUCCUGGACUUCAAGGCAUCGAAGUGUCAGCUGGCUGCCAUCCCAGCGUCUGACAGGGCAGCAGGAGAAAGAGGCCACCUGUAUCAUCCACCCGUGCUGCAGCUGAAUGGGAUCGGUGCAGCAUGAUAGAGGCCAGCUGCCCCGCACCAGGUCUGCGUGUCACAGGGCAGAGUGCAUGGUCUCCCUUCACGUGCGGGGCCAGGUGACUGCACAGAGUGAUGAGCUGGGCCCACUUUCCUGCUAUUGGCCGCCAGCAAAGAAUACAAGGGGUUUCCCUUCCCUUCCCUUCCCUUCCCUUCCCUUCCCUUCCCUAUCGACAGCCUUGCAGGGUGGUGGUUUCCUUUGCCCGGAGAGUUCAGAGGCCUUAGUUCUGGAAAGCCUCCUGUGGGGAGAUGGAGUGGCGGGGAUAGGGACCAGAGCAGAGAGGGCAGCAGCAUAAACAAAGAGGAGAGGCAAACUGUUUGAGCCCAGGAGUUUGAGACCAGCCUGGGCAACAUGGUGAAACCCUGUCUCUAUAAAAAAUAUAAAACUUAGCUGGGUGUGGUGGCACAUGCCUAUGGUCCCAGGUAUCUGGAGCAUGGGGUGGUGGUGGGGUGGUGGGAGGAUCAUCUGAGCCUGGGGAGGUCGAGGCCACAGUAAGCUAGGAUUGUAUCACUGCACUCCAGCCUUGGCAACAGAGAGAGAUCUUAUCUCAGAACAAAACAAAAAAAUUGGAGAAGGGAUUUCUCUGAUUUCUCCCUUUGGGAAGGGAGGCUUGGAGGCUGCCUGGGGCUGAGCAGGGAGCACCAUGCUUGUAGGCCUUUGGGGAGGUUUCGAGGUCCAAGUGUGACUUAGAGGAACUGGGAGAUGCCAGCAGACACUGAGACCCAAAGGGGCCUGGCUUGGGACCUAUGCAGCUGUGGGAGGGGAAAGGCCCUCCCCGCUACCAGAUGCAGACUCUGGUGCCCUGAAGCCUGGCGUCUGAGCCAGAUCUGACUUUGUGUAGAAGCAUAAAAGGAGUAGGAUGUUUGUGAUGGCUGAGCGUCAUGGAGGAAUUCAUACCUGUUCCUGGAGCAAUCUAUUUUUAACCUUGUUAACCUGAACUGUACUUUAAGAUUGAAACUAAAUGCAGCCUCUUUUCUACCCAUGAUUUAUUAGACCUCCCCUUUCUAUCAAAUUAAAGCUCUGCACAAACGAAACAAUUCAUCCUCAUCUAAUUUAUAACCAUCCUCCCACACUAGGAAUAUGGAGCCAGGAAUGAGGGAGGUUCACGUGGGAGGUGGCAACUGCAGAACAGACAGCUCUUUGGAUUUCUUUAAAUUGCCAUUUAAUUCCAUCCAUCAACCCAUUUUUCUGCUGUAUACAUAGAAAAGGACAACAGCCACUCCCUCAACCAAAUAUCCCUACAUUCAGUUAAAAGCUACUCUGUACCCCAGGACAUGGGAGCAGCUCCUAUCCUUCCCAGGUGAAAAAGUGGGCUUUUUUUCCCCCUUAAGGCUAAAUAGGAUUUCUUUUCUGUUAGCUAUGGGUAGGUGACUUCUUAAUGAUCUUUAAGGAAAGAAGUCAAUACAAGGAAAAUAUCCUUUUUUAAUCCCAUUUUCCUUCUCACCCCACACUGAGCGUUACUAUAGCAACAUCUUUCCUGCUACUAGGACAGUUAAGUCCCCCUGUGAAGUUAACCGAAAGCUGCUUUUUCACUCAGAGAAUGGGCUGCUGUUCAUUGACCAGCUUUUCCUGCGUGUCUAAAUUCUUCGGUUCUCUCUGACAUGCUCAAUCUAGGGUUUCCCGCGGCUAAACCCUAAAAUUCACUUCGAAACUCCUAACAGCAGAAUUCCCCAAACCUUUUCAGAACUGAACUCAUUAGAAAUGAAUUUACAUUUUGAUUUAGUUAUAAAUAACUUUUCUUCUGUGUAUUGGUUUAAGUUUAGAAAAGGCCCCCUGUAAAGAAGACAAGUUGGAGAAUAAUCUCCCAUAUUCCUCUGCCAUCCUUUCUUUCCUUCCUUUCCUUGAGAUGGAGUCUCUCUCUGUCGCCCAGGCUGGAGUGCAGUGGAGUGAUCUCAGCUCACUGCAACCUCCGCCUCCCGGGUUCAAGCGAUGCUCCUGCCUCAGCCUCCCGAGUAGCUGGGACUACAGGCAUGCACCACCAUGCCUGGCUAAUUUUUUGUAUUUUUAGUAGACACAGCGUUUCACCGUGUAAGCUAGGAUGGUCUCGAUCUCCUGACCUCAUGAUCAGCCCGCCUCGGCCUCCCAAUGUGCUGGGAUUACAGGUAUGAGCCACCGUGGCUGGCCUCCUUUUUCUUUUAAACACAUACAUACAUAUAUGUAAAAACAAAAGAAAAUUUCAGGACCUUCCAAAUUUCACAGGCCUAGAGGAAAGUUAAGCCCUGGAAAUGGAGUUGUGAGAGCAGGCUGUUUUUUCUCUCUGGUGCGUGACCACUGCUUCCUGAUUUUUGUGUUGAGAUCUUAGACCUUAACCAGACUUAUAGCCUUCAUUCAAACCAGACUGAAUGAUGUGGGAGGUAGGGACCUUGGUCAUUGUUAUCUCUUUAUAAUAAAAUGCUAAGCAACCCCCUUAGAGUGAAGUCAACAGUAGCCAAUCAAAUCUUACAUCUGUGUGUUAGCCGUUGUAUGGAAAACACCGUGAUUCUGUUCAGCGCCUCCCUUUUGCCUCCAUAAAAGAUCUUCACUUUUCCCCACACCGUAAUAUUUCACUGGAUUCUUGGAAUAUCAGAAAUUCAUCAUUCUUUGGUGUCUGCGUAUCUCUGAAUGGCCACUCCCAUGCAGCCCUUGAAUGAAUUACUUAACUGGAUCCUAAGCAUUUUGAUUAUUUUAGAUGGACAUAUACACAUGCAUAUACACGUAUGUGUACAUACACAUAUGUAAUGAAAUUGUUCCAAAACACAGAAAAUACAAAGACUAAUGUAAUCAGGACUCACAUAUCCACAUCUUAGAUUUAAUGCUGAUUUCGGGGGGCAUUUUUGCUUCAAAUUUGUAAAAAGCAAAGGUUACAGACAUAAAGAUCUUGCGAUUCUCUUAUCCCAGUUUCUUCCGUCUUUCUUCUCUUCUUUCUCUUUCUCUGUCCCCCGAGGUAGCAUCUAUGCUGACGUUCCCGUAUAUCUUUUCCAUCCAAAUAUUUGCAUUUUUGCUACACAUUACGUGCAAGGCUUUUAUCUGCUUCCUCCUAAUUUGUGGGGGCAAGAGGCUAGACAUCUCUGGCUGGAAAGGCACUCCCUGCAGAUCUGGGAAGCCAUGAGCCACAGGAGCAUUAGCUGUUCCUCUACCCUUUCGUUUCUUUGCUGGACAAUCCUUAUAAGCUGGAGUCCAAGUUAACCUUCCCAAAUGAGUGGCACUAUUAUUUUAAAAUAAAAGCGUUCAAGGUAGAGGAUGACUUUGGGACUCUGGCAACACAGGAAGCCCAGUGUGUUCUCCCCAAGGUCACAUUAAAAAGGUGGUGCAUCUGAGAUGGUGACUGCUCAGAAUAAAGUGAUAAGGGGACAAAAGGUGGAUGGCUUACUUACAGGUGUUAUGAAUGAGACCAUCAGGGCUCGGGUAAGAACAUUGUCUGGGAUAAAUGGUUUGUGGUUAUUGAUCUGGACCAACCUGAUAGAAAAGAAGCUGUGUGUAUUAUUAUUACAAUUUCUUGGUUUAUGCUUGCAAUUUAUAAUUUGUAUGCUCAGUCAAUUCUGCCAAUAUAAAAUAGUAAUGCCCCGGUUUCAAAAUCUGAUAUUGGAUUUUGUCCCACGAUUUAGCAUGUCCUCUAAGCAAAAUAACUGUCCAACCAGAUCACUUGCCUUCAACAACUUAAAACACAAGUAACUAGGGAGAAAAACAAACAAAGAAACAUAAACUCAAAGAAGGUUUCAAGAUUGACAUAGAGAAAAAUCUUUUCUCAUCUAUCCGUAUGUACUCUCCCACUGCUCAUCGUGGGCCCCAGGGAAAGGCGAUUUUAUUCAAAGAAGGUAACUCUGAACGUACUCAGGGCCGUAAUAUGUGAAAUGUCUCCCAGUGUUUGACAAAAAGACUCUCUUUUCAUGUUCAUAUUCCAUGGAAAUCUUAAGUCAAAGCAACAAUAAAAUAAGCUGACCCAUAAGUGCACGUGUUGAAGAGGCUCAGCCAAGAAAAACUGUUUGGUAGUUGCUGAAAACUGGCAUCUAGACCUCAAAGAGGAAAUCAGAACCAAAGUGCAGACUUGUCCCACCAGAGAUGGUGGGUGUUGGACUGAGUCAGCGACAGUGAGGCACUGACUAGACUUCCGUAACCAGCCAUACUUUCUAGUUUAUAAUGACAUUCAUGGUUAUUGUUCUACACAGACAGGUGUAGGGAAGCAAUGGGAAAGUGCAGGAAAACAGAAGCAUUGGGAAUGGAACAUCUUUGGUUUCUCCAUUUCAAUGCACUGCCAUGACCCCCACACCCACCCACGAGACUUUAGCUGUUCCAGAGCCAACGGUGCCUGCCUCUUUGCUGAUCCAUUACUCAUUCUCCCUACAGCUGCCUCAUAGCUUUGGCUCCCAAGAGGUAAGGUACAGGUAGUCUGGCUGCCUGCAUUAUCCUCCAGCCUCAAAAUACAUGGGGAACUGAAAAUAAACAAACUGUUGAUUCCUUGAGCUUAAGAAGGCCUCUUGGUGUUCCUUUAUACCUUUUCGAGUCUCUCCUAAGAUCAGAG
rnacentral:lncRNA from 1 species